rnacentral:tRNA from 1 species
GGAGCGGUAUCGAAGUGGUCAUAACGGUCCUGACUCGAAAUCAGGUGACGGAGAAAUCCGUCCGUGGGUUCGAAUCCCACCCGCUCCG